rnacentral:rRNA from 1 species
CAGGCCUAACACAUGCAAGUCGAGCGAACAGACGAGGAGCUUGCUCCUUUGACGUUAGCGGCGGACGGGUGAGUAACACGUGGGUAACCUACCUAUAAGACUGGGAUAACUUCGGGAAACCGGAGCUAAUACCGGAUAAUAUUUCGAACCGCAUGGUUCGAUAGUGAAAGAUGGCUUUGCUAUCACUUAUAGAUGGACCUGCGCCGUAUUAGCUAGUUGGUAAGGUAACGGCUUACCAAGGCAACGAUACGUAGCCGACCUGAGAGGGUGAUCGGCCACACUGGAACUGAGACACGGUCCAGACUCCUACGGGAGGCAGCAGUAGGGAAUCUUCCGCAAUGGGCGAAAGCCUGACGGAGCAACGCCGCGUGAGUGAUGAAGGUCUUCGGAUCGUAAAACUCUGUUAUUAGGGAAGAACAAACGUGUAAGUAACUGUGCACGUCUUGACGGUACCUAAUCAGAAAGCCACGGCUAACUACGUGCCAGCAGCCGCGGUAAUACGUAGGUGGCAAGCGUUAUCCGGAAUUAUUGGGCGUAAAGCGCGCGUAGGCGGUUUUUUAAGUCUGAUGUGAAAGCCCACGGCUCAACCGUGGAGGGUCAUUGGAAACUGGAAAACUUGAGUGCAGAAGAGGAAAGUGGAAUUCCAUGUGUAGCGGUGAAAUGCGCAGAGAUAUGGAGGAACACCAGUGGCGAAGGCGACUUUCUGGUCUGUAACUGACGCUGAUGUGCGAAAGCGUGGGGAUCAAACAG